rnacentral:rRNA from 1 species
AGUGAACGCUGGCGGUAGGCCUAACACAUGCAAGUCGAACGGCAGCACAGUAAGAGCUUGCUCGUACGGAUGGCGAGUGGCGGACGGGUGAGGAAUACAUCGGAAUCUACUUUUUCGUGGGGGAUAACGUAGGGAAACUUACGCUAAUACCGCAUACGACCUACGGGUGAAAGCAGGGGAUCUUCGGACCUUGCGCGAUUGAAUGAGCCGAUGUCGGAUUAGCUAGUUGGCGGGGUAAAGGCCCACCAAGGCGACGAUCCGUAGCUGGUCUGAGAGGAUGAUCAGCCACACUGGAACUGAGACACGGUCCAGACUCCUACGGGAGGCAGCAGUGGGGAAUAUUGGACAAUGGGCGCAAGCCUGAUCCAGCCAUACCGCGUGGGUGAAGAAGGCCUUCGGGUUGUAAAGCCCUUUUGUUGGGAAAGAAAAGCAGCAGGUUAAUACCCCGCUGUUCUGACGGUACCCAAAGAAUAAGCACCGGCUAACUUCGUG